rnacentral:rRNA from 1 species
AGGACUAACGCUGGCGGCGUGCCUAACACAUGCAAGUCGAACGAGAGUAGCAAUACUCUAGUGGCAGACGGGUGAGUAACACGUGGUCAACCUACCUCUAUGUGGGGGAUAACUAGCCGAAAGGUUAGCUAAUACCGCAUACGAUCGUCGAGCGGCAUCGCUUGACGAUGAAAGGAGCAAUCCGCAGAGAGACGGGACCGCGUCCCAUUAGCUAGUUGGUGGGGUAAUGGCCUACCAAGGCGACGAUGGGUAGCUGGCUUGAGAGAGCGACCAGCCACACUGGGACUGAGACACGGCCCAGACUCCUACGGGAGGCAGCAGUGAGGAAUUUUCCGCAAUGGGCGAAAGCCUGACGGAGCGACGCCGCGUGUGGGAAGAAGGCCUUCGGGUCGUAACCACUGUCGAGGGAAGAUAUUGACGGUACCCUUGGAGGAAGCCCGGCUAACUACGUGCCAGCAGCCGC